rnacentral:rRNA from 1 species
UACGUAGGGUGCAAGCGUUUGUCCGGAAUUAUUGGGCGUAAAGAGCUCGUAGGCGGUUUGUCGCGUCUGCUGUGAAAACCCGAGGCUCAACCUCGGGCCUGCAGUGGGUACGGGCAGACUAGAGUGCGGUAGGGGGAGAUUGGAAUUCCUGGUGUAGCGGUGGAAUGCGCAGAUAUCAGGAGGAACACCGAUGGCGAAGGCAGGUCGUCUGGGCCACUACUGACGCUGAGAAGCGAAAGCAUGGGGAGCGAACAGG